rnacentral:rRNA from 1 species
UACGUAGGGUGCGAGCGUUGUCCGGAAUUAUUGGGCGUAAAGGGCUCGUAGGCGGUUUGUCGCGUCGGGAGUGAAAACUCAGGGCUUAACCCUGAGCCUGCUUCCGAUACGGGCAGACUAGAGGUAUGCAGGGAGAGCGGAAUUCCUGGUGUAGCGGUGAAAUGCGCAGAUAUCAGGAGGAACACCGGUGGCGAAGGCGGUUCUCUGGGCAUUACCUGACGCUGGAGGAAGCGAA